rnacentral:tRNA from 1 species
GGAACCGUAGCUCAGUGGUAGAGCGCCCAGAUUUGACACCUGGGAGGUCGUGGGUUCGAAUCCCACUGGUUAUU